rnacentral:lncRNA from 1 species
CAAAGUUGAAUUGAGAAAUUUAAGUUAUCACCAUAGUCUUGUUCUGUGUUGACCAUUAGAAAAAUCUCUUCUUGGAGUCAUUUAACACCAGGUAUAUACUGUUUAUAGGUCAAAGGAAAUGUUGGCGGUUGUCUUAGGUGAGCAAUAAAAGAAUACUAAGUUUAUUCAAAGUUUCAGAAUACAACUUUUGGUUACAUUCUUAGAAAAAUUGUAUUUUUAAGUACCUAACCCUAAUACUAUUCUCUCCUUUGACCCCAACAUUCUCAAGUUCCAGUGAAAUGUUAU